rnacentral:lncRNA from 1 species
GCUUUGGGCGAAAGGAAGUGGAGGCUGCAUUGCAGCUUUUUGGCCGUUCAUUGGCCAAGAACGACCUGCGAUACACAACAGUUGUCUCUGGUGGAGACAGCCGUGUUUCACAGGCGUUGCGAGAUGAGUAGCCAUGUGGGUUUAUAUCAGUCGCAAAAGACUGCAUAAACCAUGUAAAAAAAAGAAUGGGCACUAGCUUUCGAUCCAUUGUGAGCGAGGCCAGGAAAGGGGAACCACUGGUUGGCAAAGAUGAGAUCACACAACAGCUGAUAAAAAAAAGCUCACCAACUACUAUGGCCUGGCUAUCGGCAAGAACAGCA